UGAAACUUGAGGAACAGGCAG
rnacentral:miRNA from 1 species